rnacentral:tRNA from 1 species
GGGAAGGUGGCUCAGUGGUAGAGCACUUGCCUUGCAUGCAUAAGGCCCUGGGUUUGAUUCCUCACCACCACA